CUGGGAUCAGCACAUCCUAGAGCUGCAAAAUACUCUGUGAUUGUCACAUGCUUGGAGUCUCUCCUUAUAGGAAUAAUUUGCGCAGGCAUUAUUUUAGUAACUAAGGAUGAGUUCUCCAUAAUCUUUACUAAUAGCUUAGAGAUGAGGAAAGCAGUGGCUAAAUUGGCACACCUUCUGGGCAUCACAAUGAUACUAAAUUGUGUUCAGCCAGUAAUAUCAAGUAUACAACAAUGCAUACAUCAAAAAUUGAUCCUAAUUAUUAAUAUUUUGAGUCUUCAUAGAAAUUUGUGAAACAAUCUCACCUAUUAAUGAGAUUUUGACUCAAUAAUACUAGAAUCAUUUUUACAACUAUUAGAUCUCGAGUUUGAAUUCAGUCAGAACUCACAGAAUCAGGUGUGGCUGUGGGAGGAGG
rnacentral:misc_RNA from 1 species